GUGGGGAAUAUUGCACAAUGGGGGGAACCCUGAUGCAGCGACGCCGCGUGAGUGAAGAAGUAUUUCGGUAUGUAAAGCUCUGUCAGCAGGGAAGAAAGAGACGGUACCUGACCAAGAAGCCCCGGCUAACUACGUGCCAGCAGCCGCGGUAAUACGUAGGGGGCAAGCGUUAUCCGGAUUUACUGGGUGUAAAGGGAGCGUAGACGGCAAUGCAAGUCUGGAGUGAAAGCCCGCGGCCCAACUGCGGGACUGCUCUGGAAACUGUAAUGCUUGAGUGCAGGAGGGGUAAGCGGAAUUCCUGGUGUAGCGGUGAAAUGCGUAGAUAUCAGGAGGAACACCGGUGGCGAAGGCGGCUUACUGGACUGUAACUGACGUUGAGGCUCGAAAGCGUGGGGAGCAAACAGGA
rnacentral:rRNA from 1 species